rnacentral:piRNA from 1 species
UAUGGCUCAAACCAACAGGACAAUUUGC